rnacentral:rRNA from 1 species
AGGGGCUUUCGGGUCCCCGGUAAAGUGGCGAACGGGUGAGUAACGCGUAGGUAACCUGUCCUCGAAUGUGGAAUAACCUGGCGAAAGCCGGGCUAAUACCGCAUGAUGUCCGUGGGUCCUCGGAUCUGCGAACCAAAGGUGGCGAGCUUCGAGUGCUGCCGUUCGAGAAAGGGCCUGCGUCCCAUUAGCUAGUUGGUGGGGUAACGGCCUACCAAGGCUACGAUGGGUAGCCGGGCUGAGAGGCUGUCCGGCCACACUGGAACUGAGACACGGUCCAGACUCCUACGGGAGGCAGCAGUGGGGAAUCUUGCGCAAUGGGGGAAACCCUGACGCAGCGACGCCGCGUGGGCGAUGAAGGCCUUCGGG